UAACGAAGGGUGCAAGGCGUUACUCGGAAUUACUGGGCGUAAAGCGCAAGCGUAGGCGGCUUUGUAAGUUAGAGGUGAAAAGCCCGGGGCUCAACUCCGGAAAUUGCCUUUAAGACUCGCAUCGCUAGAAUUGUGGAGAGGUAAGUGGAAUUCCGAGUGUAGAGGUGAAAUUCGUAGAUAUUCGGAAAGAACACCAGUGGCGAAGGCGGACUUACUGGACACAUAUUGACGCUGAGGUGCGAAAGCGUGGGGAGCAAACAGG
rnacentral:rRNA from 1 species